CAUGCAGUCGACGGUGACACGGAGCUUGCUCUGUGGGAUCAGUGGCGAACKGGUGAGUAACACGUGAGCAACCUGCCCCUGACUCUGGGAUAAGCGCUGGAAACGGCGUCUAAUACUGGAUAUGUGACGUGACCGCAUGGUCUGCGUCUGGAAAGAAUUUCGGUUGGGGAUGGGCUCGCGGCCUAUCAGCUUGUUGGUGAGGUAAUGGCUCACCAAGGCGUCGACGGGUAGCCGGCCUGAGAGGGUGACCGGCCACACUGGGACUGAGACACGGCCCAGACUCCUACGGGAGGCAGCAGUGGGGAAUAUUGCACAAUGGGCGCAAGCCUGAUGCAGCAACGCCGCGUGAGGGACGACGGCCUUCGGGUUGUAAACCUCUUUUAGCAGGGAAGAAGCGAAAGUGACGGUACCUGCAGAAAAAGCGCCGGCUAACUACGUGCCAGCAGCCGCGGUAAUACGUAGGGCGCAAGCGUUAUCCGGAAUUAUUGGGCGUAAGAGCUCGUAGGCGGUUUGUCGCGUCUGCUGUGAAUCCGGAGGCUCACCUCCGGUCUGCAGUGYGUACAGACAGACUAGAGUGCGGUAGGAGAUGAUCUGUGUAGCGUGAUGCGCAGAUAUCAGAGACACGAUGCGAGCAGAUCUCUGGCGUACUGACGCUGAGAGCGAUGUGGGAGCAACAGCUAGAUACCUGUAGUCACCGUAACGUGGACUAGUGUGGGUCAUCACGGAUCGUGACGCAGCUACGCAUAGUCCCGCUGGGAGUACGCGCAGCUAAACU
rnacentral:rRNA from 1 species